UAAGCUUAUAUCAAAAUAUUGUACGCAGUUUUGACAUCAUAUAUCAUAUAUAUAUAUAGUGUUAAUAAAUCUGUCUAUAUUAAUCUAAUUAGUAUUUCCUUGAUUUGGUUAUAAAUUUCUUUGAGUUUUCCGCGGGGAAAUAUAUUCCUGUGGUCCCGACAGUGUUGAGUGAGUGGAGUACUUUUUGUAUUUAAAUAUUGUAAAAUAAUGAAAAGAUAAGCCACUUACUGAAAUCUACGGUACAUAUUCGUUUUAUCAAUAAAGAAUCAAAAUGAACGGCCUAGAACGAGAGAGAGAGAGAGACGUACGAGAAGGGAGAAAGAGGAACCAAGGAGAAUGACUGUGAACCGGCCUAAGAAAGAGUCG
rnacentral:lncRNA from 1 species